rnacentral:lncRNA from 1 species
CAAACUUAAGUACCUAGACCUUCCAAAUUAGUCACCUCUUAGAUCUGCUGUAAUAUGGAUAUUCCAGUCUCCUCUCAGAAGCCACAGAAGAACAAAGGCUAAACAAGAAGCUUAAGCUUCUUGUCAAAUUUAGGGGUUGAGAUCUAUUGGUGUUUUGGCCCUCACUGCUAGACAAACAACUCAGACUCUCAGCUCAAUUUCUGCCAAAGGCUUUAAUGCGUAAAUCAGAACUGCACAUAGGCAAGGUACAUGGCUAAGUGCAAGUUAGGACGUUCAUCCAAUGAGUUACACACCCCUUGAACCUUUCUUUUGAAGAACAGGGCAAGUACAACUUCUAGCACAGCAAACAGCCAUAGUCCCAGGACUAGUCAUGUAAAUGGGCACUCCUUCAAGUGAGUUUGGCCAUGUUCUUGACAAUGGGCAUGCCAGCUCAGAUUCCAGUUUACUCUCAGUCACUUCCCUGGUUCCACACUGACUGGAGGAGGUAUGUGGUUUGGAGUAUCCAAUGACACAGGGGCAAAGCACUCCUCUGUCAAUCUGCUUGGUCCCUCCUCUGGGUCCAGCUCUCCACCCUCUGGACUGCUGGCCAUCUUCCUGGACUCACACAUUUCUUGGCAUCCCAGUUUCACAUUCCCCCUAGGAACCUUCCCAUGGUCAUCCAGUGUUGGCUCCCUAAGCUCCCAUUCCUCCUCAGGAUAUGAUCAUCCCCUCCAUGAUAUCUCCACAGAGCUCCUGGCAAUAUUUAUUAUCAUUAGUAGUAGUAGUAGUAUUAAUCCAGAUUAGAGAACUGGGCCAAAACAAACAAGAUGAAUUUUAACAGGGAGAAAUGUAAAGUAUUGCACUUGGGCAAAAAAAAUGAGAGGCACAAAUACAAGAUGGGGGACACCUGGCUUGAGAGCAGUACAUGUGAAAAGGAUCUAGGAGUCUUGGUUGACCACAAACUUGACAUGAGCCAACAGUGUGACGCGGCAGCUAAAAGAGCCAAUGCAAUUCUGGGCUGCAUCAAUAGGAGUAUAGCAUCUAGAUCAAGGGAAGUAAUAGUGCCACUGUAUUCUGCUCUGGUCAGACCUCACCUGGAGUACUGUGUCCAGUUCUGGGCACCACAGUUCAAGAAGGACACUGACAAACUGGAACGUGUCCAGAGGAGGGCAACCAAAAUGGUCAAAGGCCUGGAAACAAUGCCUUAUGAGGAACGGCUAAGAGAGCUGGGCAUGUUUAGCCUGGAGAAGAGGAGGUUAAGGGGUGAUAUGAUAGCCAUGUUCAAAUAUAUAAAAGGAUGUCACAGAGAGGAGGGAGAAAGGUUGUUUUCUGCUGCUCCAGAGAAGCGGACACGGAGCAAUGGAUCCAAACUACAAGAAAGAAGAUUCCACCUAAACAUUAGGAAGAACUUCCUGACAGUAAGAGCUGUUCGACAGUGGAAUUUGCUGCCAAGGAGUGUGGUGGAAUCUCCUUCUUUGGAGGUCUUUAAGCAGAGGCUUGACAACCAUAUGUCAGGAGUGCUCUGAUGGUGUUUCCUGCUUGGCAGGGGGUUGGACUCGAUGGCCCUUGUGGUCUCUUCCAACUCUUCUAUGAUUCUAUGAUUCUAUGAUUCAAUGUAGCUCUAAGUAACUUGUUCUGUCAGUACAAAGAUUUAUCCUUGAGCAGCUGAAUUUUCCUCCUCUCCUCUACCCAUGCACCCCUAAUUCUGUUCAGGGGGACAGACUGUUCUCCAAACCCUUUAGAACAGAUUUGAGGAGGGUGAAGUGGGCACAAAGGGGAAGUGGGAACAUCCCAUUGCACAAGCAUACAUCACUGUGCUGAUGAGACAGACUUGUUGAAUACCGUCCAUUGUUAUCUCUGUGGGAAAUAUAUUUUAUACUUGCUUACACAAUUGCAAAGGGUUUCUUAUCAUGACUGAUUUCCUUUUCAUUACAUGACCUUACAGGUGCUUUACUAUCUUGAAUGGUUUAUUUGUGAACAUUUUUGGCGGCAGCACAGAAGACUUGAAGCCACAGGCUAAAGUCAACUGAUUCCUCUCAUUCUGGAGUAGGUCAGAUGUACAGCUUGUAUAAAAUUGGCCAGGCUCCAUUUCUCUCCACCCACAAAAAGGUGGGGGAUUUUUUUUUGUUUUGCCUAAAGAAAGGAAGGAUAGAGCCAAUGAGAGUCAAAUGCAUUUUAUUCAUUCUGUAGAUUUCCUGCAUUUACAAUGCAAUGUAACCUUACGUCAAUUUCUGUUGCCACACUCAAAGCUAUUAUAAAAGAAAGAAGUGGGGGAGGGGAAACUCUUUAGCAAAGCAGAGACAAGGAAGAAAGAAUUGCGAAUUGGAAGGGGAAAGUCCAGAGCAUAACUUCCGAUUGCGAGGGCUGUACUGCACAAAGCAGAGGAGGAAGCUGUUCCUCCAAUAAAGCCAAACUGGAGAGAAGACACACGAAACAUGCUGCUGUGUGUUGAUGUAAUUUGGAACAGGUCCAGCUCCCUCAAAUUCUCCUCUGUGUCUUUUCAAAGGGCCCUGUCAUGUCAUGCUGGAAAGCUUAAUCCCUAGCACUGUAAUGGGUUGGCUUAACACAGCGUACUUCACAAAUCUUCUCUCAGAAUUUCCUCUACAGCAGAGCCAACAUUUCUCGGAAGACAUUUUUCUAAGGUUUUUCUUUAGCUUCUCUUCCCCCACCCCUGAAAAAGAAGGCCACUUUGCUGAAUCCUCUCAAUGUUCUUUACCAGUUUAACCUCCGCCUCCACCCUCGUGGCUGACAUUUCUCCCCACAAUGCCCAUGAAUGAAGAUAAAUACGGAGCACUGUGGAGAAUGCAAAAUGAUGGCCAAGCUGCCAAGGCAGUGCAGCAGCAGAGCAAAACAUAUAUAUAUAUCAGGUGAUCACCUAAAUGGCAGUCAUGCCUCAGGAUUCUCCCAUUUCUUGUUCCAGGAGGAGGCUGGUUCAUUAGAAUGAAUGGGGUACCAACCUCAGUUUGCCCACACCUAGCCCCACUUGCCUGCUUUCUUACUGCCAUUCCAGGGCAGUGGCAGUGGCUAUCAGUUUCCCCUUCCUUAGUCUCAUUGUUGCACAAAGGGGGGAUAGGGACAAAACUAGAAUUUGUUGGCUCUGCCUCCAACUGCCACCUUCUGGUGCCACCUGCUGUUGGCCUCCCUGCCUUGCACCCUACCAGUCCCAGUGGGCACUAGUCACCACCGCUUGUACCUUGCUGUGGUUAGCAAGUUGCCAAAUAGCUGCCUUCUAGCAAAAUUUGGCCCUGGAAAACCACACAAGCCAAGUUUCACACGAAUAAUAAAAUAGAAAGGCAGGGAACAGGGGGACUUCCAAGCAAAUGCCAGUAUGUGAAAUAUUCACCACAGGUCUAAUCUUAACAUGUCCCUGCCCAAACCAAGGCUUUAGGCUAUGCGGUGUGGUUGACUCGUCUGUCCCUUCAGUGCCAGGAACUCCUCCCACAUCUCAUUGCAUAAUUCAGGAAACAUUUAUUUGAUACUCUGUGGGGCUGUGCAGCAACGCAGCUGUGCUUGUCUUAGGAAAAGUUCGCCUUCUCCGCUGCUCACCAACAGCUGUAAAAUGACAAGUACUCCAACUCCCAUCAUGACCCAAGGUCAGGAAUGAUGGGAGUCAGUCCAGCAAUAUCUGGGGCACCCAAAGCUUCCUGUCCCUGAUCUAAUGGAAUGCUGCUGUGCAUGACAGGGACAAAUCUGUGUUUCACCAAACUACCUAACAACCACUCUUGAUAUACUAGCCAGGGAAUGAAAUCACUUUCCAGAAACAAAAUGUGGGAGCCUUAUUCACACAAAAGGUGAGAAAAUUAGACAUCCAUAUAACAGAAGAACUACAUUUGAGGAUAUUUGUCACACUAUUCAGUGACAAUCUAGAAAGGUUGAUAGAUGGAGUUCUCUAUUGAAAGCCUUACUCUUUUGCUAUGACAUACUUAUCCUAUCUUAGUUAUAUUCUCAUAUUUACAGAAAGCAAUAUAAGGCAACUACAAGAGGUUUAACCUGCGUGAGCUCUCAUUAAUUUUAACGCUUUGGGAAAUAGCCAGUAAUUAGCUAUCGUCAUAGAUAGCUAAUUAUUAUUCAUUAUUGCUUCCUUUCACGGCAGUUGACCCCAUUCAUUCUUUCGUCUCUUCACAGUUGUGUCUGUUAUGUUCCCAGGGUUGCCCGUCCUUUUCCUGCGCGUGGUUUAAUGAGGUGGGUGGUAGAGAUGUGAUGGAGAUGCCCUUUCUCAAUCCGUUUGUCAUAGUUGAUACUGGAAAUCUAUGAAACCAAUUUGCCCUCAUUCAGGAAGACUACAGAGUCGCAUAGUCAGAGUAUGGCUCCCUAGAAAAAGUGUGUUUGGAAGUACAGUGGUACCUCGGGUUAAGAACUUAAUUUGUUCCAGAGGUCCGUUCCUAACCUGAAACUGUUCUUAACCAGAAGCACCACUUUAGCUAAUGGGGCCUCCCACUGCCGCCGCGCCGCCAGAGCAUGAUUUCUGUUCCCAUCCUGAAGCAAUGUUCUUAACCCGAGGUACUAUUUUUGGGUUAGUGGAGUCUGUAACCUGAAGUGUAUGUAACCUGAAGCGUAUAUAACCCGAGGUACCACUGUAAUUACCAAAAUGGUCUCUAGUUUGGAGCUUGUCAAAGGGAAAGUGACCAUCCAAGACUCAACCAUUUCUCUUUCUCUUAUCCCAGACCAUCAACCAGGCAGACCAGGGCUGCUGGGAACUGAAGCCCAACUUCUAGAGGGCAACACAUUCCUCAGCCUUGCCUUAUAUUAAUGGCCCACAUUUGUUCCUUUAAAGCAAUAAGGGUCCAGAGCCUCUUUGAGACAUGAUUGGAUCUUUGCAUUUUUAAAACAUUUAAAGCAGUCAUGUGUGUGCAUGAAUCAGGCUGGGGAUGUGCUGCUGGAAGAGGGUACCUUCUUCCCUUGUGUUGUUUUCCUGAUGUGAAUAGCCAUAAAAACUUGUCCAGCAAGUGAGAUAGUGGCCUGUGCAUGCCCUCAGCUGCAGAAACCAGGCAGAUGGAGCCUUUUCCGUGGAUGUUUCCUUCUCUCUGCUGUUUAUCCAUAAAAAUGGUUGUGUUCAGGUGUUCUAAACUGGGCUGAAUCUGCAGAUUCCCCAAACUCACUCAGCACUAUCAGGACCUUCCAAGGGCCUGAUAGCUAAAUAGGGUCUAUUGCCAGCCCUUCUGCCAUUGCACCAUAGCUGUCAAGUGUCCCUUAUUUGAAGGGACAGUCCCUUAUUCCAGCGCCAUGUCCCGCUGCUGUCCCUUAUUGAUGGAUGUCCCUUAAAUGUCCCUUAAAUGGUGUCCCUUAAAUUUCAAAGGAAGCAGCUCCUCUCCCUCCCUUCCUGCCGGCCAGGGAGGAGGGAGGCUCCAACUGUGUUGCUUGGCUGUGUGCUCACCCAAUAAGAAGUCUAAGAAUGACUGGGGGGUGGAGCUUGCAUGCCUUGUGUGUGGCUAGUUAAUGCAAGCUGAGGGGUUUUUUGAAUGCUGGACGCCAUUUUGUUGCACGUGCUGCUGCAAACUUUGCAGUGCAAAACCAGGCCGGGAGCCAUCUUAAGUUGAGGCUGCAUAGGCCUUGUGGUGCAUGUGAUUCAGAUUCUAUUCAGUUGAACCUCUGGUUACAAAGUUGGGUGGACAGUGUU